rnacentral:rRNA from 1 species
CACACCCGUUCCCAUACCGAACACGGAAGUUAAGCUUCUCAGCGCCGAUGGUAGUUGGGACCUUGUCCCUGUGAGAGUAGGACGUUGCCAGGC